UCGGUGGUAAUGGAAUAUACACAGUAGUUCAGUUGAAUUUAUAUUCAUCAAAUUGAAAUCUCCAAUUACUGUGUAUGUUGUUUCAUGAAUGUGAGAAGAUGAGAAUCACUGCCAAUGUCGUAGUUCAUAAAGAUGCUUGAAACACAGUAAGGUGCAAUGCAAUUCAUUGCUAUUAAAGUCUUAUUAGGUAUCUCAUCCGGGUGUGACAAUCGAUUGAGAUGGGUGUUAAUGAUAGAAGUUACAGUAUGCUGCUUACUUCAACCAUGUUCUUUAAGUUUUGCCCUGCACAUUUUUGUCUUCCAUAACACUUCUCAACAUGAUUCAACUUUGAUACAUAGAUGAUGGUCUCAUCUUUAGAUUUUAUCAGCAAAUCGCCAUACAGAGAGUCCCAAAAUAAUGCCAAAAUCAAAUUCAAACCGAAUUUGAUUAAUAAAGCAUUCAACUACUUAGGUUGAUUAAUAAACAUAAUAAAGCAUUGAUCAGGAAAAUAAAUAAAUUAGUAAUACGUGUUAUUUGUACAAUUGAUCUUAGGAUUCUUAAUUGUUCCUCUUGAUUUAAAUUAUGCAAGGUAGAAGAAUUCUUCUGGAUGGUGUAUCUUUGUAAAAUUAGCUCCUCCUCCUCCUCCUCCUCCUCCUCACGUUCUGCUCAAUAAAUCACAAAUCAACAGACGAUGGGAAGAGCUAAUUUUUCAUCUGGCAUUGUAGUCCAGAAGAAGAAGUCAGGACACAUCAAGAAUCUCCCGUACGAGAUCUUGUUAGACAUUCUUUCUCGGUUACCAGUUGAGUCUGUUUUGGAGUGCAAAUUAGUAUGCAAAGGGUUGCUAAAGCUCCUCCAUAGUAGAACAAGUUUCUUCAAAAAUAUACAUGUUACCCGCCAGCUUAACCAACUGCAUGGCAGUGCUGCUCAUGGUGAUAAGUUGGACAUGGGCUUCCUUUUUUGUUGUACAAUAAGUGACAGCCCGCACGGGCUACUUUUCUAUGGAGGAUUGUACAAUGAUAAGAUCAAUACUGAUCAUUUGUACGAGUAUAAGAAGACACUAAAAAAGGUCAGACAUCCUCCAAUGCACUUUCAAUCGCCGCAACAAUGUUUGGUUAAUUCAUGCAACGGGUUGAUAUGUCUUGGUAUAAAACACCACCGAUGCGUUGAUCCCACCUACAUAUACAAUCCGGCCACAGGAGAGUAUGUUAGUCUUCCAAAAUUGAUUGUACCUCCAGGAAGUAGUUUUCCUCGCAUUGCCCGAGGGUUUGGAUAGAUUCCUUCUACUAAUGAAUACAAGGUAGUUAGAAUUUUUUACCCUGAUCUUCAAACAACUGGACAGGUCCAAGUAUACACACUUGGUAGUGGUUGCGGGUGGAGCACAAAACGUACACCAAUCCCGUGGGUCUUUUUUGAACCGCCGGCUUGUUUUGCGGAUGGAAUUUUAUAUUGGUACGACUAUACAAAAAUUUAUGGAUUUGAUUUAGCUAAUGAAGAGUUGCAAAUUCUCUCAUCUCCAUGGUCUUUGAAGAAGACAGAUACGAAAGACAGCUGGUGCAAAGACUUCAGUAUUGUAUACGAGAAGCAAGAAGCAUUAGAUGAUGAUUAUUUUUGUCCGAUAAUGAUUACAAAGAAAAAUGGAAUCAUAUUUAUGAGGGAAUUCAACACUAUCGAGUGUUACGACACUAAAACCACAACUUGGAAAGAGAUAGUGGCCGAAGAUUUUCAAUUUUAUCUUGAGGAUAUCUCGGUAGUUUCCCAUGUGAACACUUUUGUUUCCAUAAGAUCAUUGGGAGAGAAGUCGAACAAGAAAAGUUGCAGAAAUAAGAUGUUUGGUCAACUCAGUGUAACGUAGUAAGUGUUUGUUGUGACAAGAGGCCUACUUAGUGGAGGAUGAGGAUCAAUUUUUUGAAUAUUUAUACUUUCUAAGGAAUUUUAUCCCUAACCCGAGAACUGUUGAAAUCCUUUUUGUUCUUCUUUGCUCCAAUCUUCUCUUUGAACCUUUUGGUCAAGACAAUACAUUAGAAAUGUUCAAUUUAUUUUCUCAGAAGACUUUGGUACUGAAGGACAAGGAGGGUAAGCCAAGCUUUUGAACUGGCCUGAACUGGUUAUGUUCUCCUAAUAGUAGUUUGUGAUCAUUUUCCAUGUUUCUGUCUGUUCAUGUACUUCGACAGUUAUGGGAUUAGAGGAGACAGUAGGCAGAACCAUCUGCUUCAAAUACUAACCCUAUUUGCCAUGGAGACUCCUCUCAGUUUGGAUGCUGAAGACAUCAGAAAUGAAAAGGUGCUAAUUCACAAUAACCUUUGCUUUUACAAUAUGGAGUGGUCGUAUUUUCUCGCUGUUAACUUUCCUGGUAUUUAUUAAGUGAAAGUUCAUGCUCAACGAAGCCUUUGCAACUCGACAACAUGGUGGUUGGGCAGUAUAAGAGUCACACUAAGGGGAGGAUUAGCUAUUCAGGCUACCCAGCAGCCUACAAUGUUUGAAAUGUGUUUACAAGCACAGAGGCUAAUAAAAUCAUGGCUGAAAUUGUGUUGGCUACCUUAAUAAAUGAUAGGAUGUCUGCUCGGAGGCUACUGCUUUUGGUAACAAUACUGCAGUUAUUAGUUGUGUUUACUUGUUAGAUUAUCAGAUUCUUCAUACAAAACAUAUAGUGAGCCUAAGAAGAUUAUGUUGGAGUAUAACCUAGGAAGAUUUUUACUAAUUGCUAUCCACGGUCGGGAGUCUUAAGAAAUCAUAUUUUUAAAAUGCACACCUUAUAAGUGUCAUUGUAUCUGCUGCACCUUUUUCUCAAGGGUUGACAUGUCCCCUGUUACAUAUGGUUGUGCGUCUCCCUUAAGUUUUUUGAGCUUUUAAAAUCUGCUAUUCCCCCACUGUAAUGCACACAUACUGUAUGUUCAAUUAAAGCUGAAAUGGCAUUCUUGAAAUGGUUCUCUCUCCGCAGAGCAGACAUCAGGGUACAGUUCAGGCAUGUUCCUGAUAAUUUGUACAAGAAUUUUAUUUGAAAAUCCACAACAAAGUCCCUGGUUUGGGUAUGAAGUUGGACCGCAGUAAUCUGAACCUUCGUUAUGCAGCAAGAUACUCCAAGGAGAUUCCAGAUGUUUAUGACAGACUGUUGCUUGAUGCAAUUGAAGGAGAACGACGGUUAUUCAUCAGGAGUGACGAACUGGAUGUUGCACGAGCCUCUUCACAACUCUGCUGUAAGAGCUAGAGGAGAAGCUCCACCUCGUAGAUCCCAAGGACGCCUUUAGCAUCCAAAGAUAGUCCCCGAGUUGUAUCCUUAUGGUAAUCGAGGACCUGUUGGCGCACAUUAUCUUACAGCUAAAUACAUUGUUCGAUGGGGCGAUAUAUCAGUAGUGCAGACUACCAGCAACAGUGAAUUAGUGGUUAAGGCCACAAAAUUUCAAACUAAAUGUAUUUUCAGCGAUGGACAUGAUCAUCAUUUUCUCUCAGAAAACAUAGUAGUUAUUCAUAACAUUCAAAUGGGAUAAAGUGGAAUGAAAAUACAGGUUGAA